ensembl:lncRNA
GAUUACACUGUGGCUGAAAAUGAAACUACAGUGGUCAGGCGUAUGACUGGACAAUACAAGGACCACUGUAGAGCUUCUCAAGCUAAACAUUCUGUGGUUGAAGAAACUCCUGCUGCCUCUAAACGUCCAUGGUUGGCUACACAGGAACCAGAUGAAAAUGUAGCGGUCCUGGAAAGCUUAUUAGUUGAGGAAAUGCCCCCAUGGGCCCUAGAUGACCACUUCUCAAUUGCUGCAGGACAAAAGCCCAAGAAAGCCAGGAGAGAGGUAAGUGUCAAAUUGAAGAAGAAAAAGGAUGCCAAGAAGGAUGACUCCAGUGGCGCUGUGAAGGGGAGGAAGAUGAGACGUUGCAGCACUAAGGUAUCACCAUUUCCGGAUGGAGGUUCUUUGUCCGUUGUGUCUUUAGAUAAUCAGGAUAGGACAUAUACAGCCGUUGCAGCACAAAACACAAAAGCACAGCCGCUUUCGCAGAUACAAGUCUUGCAUUAUAACACGCACUCUGCCACUGAGGAUGUUACUGAAGCUUGUGAGCAUUUGUCUUCACCUGAAACCAGGAGUUCGGACUUAAAAGUCAGCAUCUUCAAGCCUCGAUCCAACCAGGUCCUUAACACCCUUAGACGAGACACAUUUAUCCUACCUAUUAGUCUGAAUGAAUCUAGCAUAAACAGGAAGACCUUCGUUAACUCUGACUGCAUUUCCCGGGAUGAAGAUGACACAAACAGCAGAGCAUCUAAAGUAUCAGUUGCUGAGAUCCACACAGAGAUUCCUGAUCAUCGUAACGUAGAGACUGUUCAUGAAAGCUUGAGAGAGCUGCUCAUGGACGAAAUGCCUCCAUGGGAGUCCUCCAUUGAAGUUUGCUGUUUCAAACCGACUGGAUUUGACACUUCAGACUCCAACCCUAGAAGGGUUACUUCUGCUCGCAAGGUUGCUGUAUUUGAAGAGCAGUCUGAGGUUACGACUGAAAUAUCUCCAGCAGAUACAGCCCUUAAGCCACUGACCAAUACCAACUGGACUGAUAAUGAAGACACUGGACGAACCAGGCGAAGGGGGGCCACUGUUAGCUACAAAGAGCCACCCAUCAACUGUAAAAUGAGACGUGGAGAUAAGUUUUCAGACACCAGGUUCCUGAGUUCUCCCAUUUACAAAGACAAGAUCAAGAAGAAACGGCAAAACACCAGACAAAAACAUGACCAUUUGAAGAGUCAAAAUGUGCUUUAAAUUUCUAUGUUGUGUUUGAUUUUAUUAAUUCUUAAGGAUUUGUUCUAUACUUAAUUUUACCCAUGUUUUAAAAUUAUUAAUAAAGUAAUUUUUUUCCCCCAAUUGUUAUUAAAGCCUUUCAGGAUUAACCUGAACCUGGGUAGUUAUAGUUGCACAAGAACAUUUGAAUUACUUUCUAUGGUAUGCAAUAUAUCAUUGUGUGACGGACUGAACCAACCUGUUAAGGCAGGGUUGUAUCAUGUUACGGUUAAGUGCUGCCCAAUGCAUCUGUCCUUAUGUUUCCAAGAUAAUCUGGACUUGUAUUGUAUUGUAAGUGUGAUUGACUGGAGGCC